rnacentral:rRNA from 1 species
GUUGUAUGGUUAAGUGACUAAGCGUACACGGUGGAUGCCUUGGCAGUCAGAGGCGAUGAAAGACGUAGUAACUUGCGAUAAGCCCAGAUUAGGUAGUAACAACCAUUUGAGUCUGGGAUUUCUGAAUGGGGAAACCCACGUGCAUAAGCACGUAUCCUUACCUGAAUACAUAGGGUAAGGAGGCGAACCGGGGGAACUGAAACAUCUAAGUACCCCGAGGAAAAGAAAUCAACCGAGAUUCCGAAAGUAGCGGCGAGCGAAAUUGGACUAGCCCUUAAGCUUUACACGCGUUAGACGAACGGUCUGGAAAGUCCGACGAUACAGGGUGAUAGUCCCGUAGUUGACGACGUGUGUUCAGUGAAAUCGAGUAGGGCGGGACACGUGAUAUCCUGUCUGAAUAUGGGGGGACCAUCCUCCAAGGCUAAAUACUACUGACUGACCGAUAGUGAACCAGUACCGUGAGGGAAAGGCGAAAAGAACCCCUGUGAGGGGAGUGAAAUAGAACCUGAAACCGUGUACGUACAAGCAGUAGGAGCAGGCUUUGUCCUGUGACUGCGUACCUUUUGUAUAAUGGGUCAGCGACUUAUAUUCAGUGGCAAGGUUAACCAUCUAGGGGAGCCGUAGGGAAACCGAGUCUUAACUGGGCGUUCAGUCUCUGGAUAUAGACCCGAAACCAGGUGAUCUAGCCAUGGGCAGGUUGAAGGUUGAGUAACAUCAACUGGAGGACCGAACCGACUAAUGUUGAAAAAUUAGCGGAUGACUUGUGGCUAGGGGUGAAAGGCCAAUCAAACCUGGAGAUAGCUGGUUCUCCCCGAAAGCUAUUUAGGUAGCGCCUCGGACGAAUACUACUGGGGGUAGAGCACUGUUAAGGCUAGGGGGUCAUCCCGACUUACCAACCCUUUGCAAACUCCGAAUACCAGUAAGUACUAUCCGGGAGACACACGGCGGGUGCUAACGUCCGUCGUGGAGAGGGAAACAACCCAGACCGCCAGCUAAGGUCCCAAAUUACUACUAAGUGGGAAACGAUGUGGGAAGGCUCAGACAGCCAGGAUGUUGGCUUAGAAGCAGCCAUCAUUUAAAGAAAGCGUAAUAGCUCACUGGUCGAGUCGGCCUGCGCGGAAGAUGUAACGGGGCUAAGUAGUAAACCGAAGCUGCGGCAAUGUGCUUUUGCACAUUGGGUAGGGGAGCGUUCUGUAAGCGGUUGAAGGUGUGUGGUAACGCAUGCUGGACGUAUCAGAAGUGCGAAUGCUGACAUGAGUAACGAUAAAGGGGGUGAAAAACCUCCUCGCCGGAAGACCAAGGGUUCCUGUCCAACGUUAAUCGGGGCAGGGUAAGUCGACCCCUAAGGCGAGGCCGAAAGGCGUAGUCGAUGGGAAACGGGUUAAUAUUCCCGUACUUCUUACAAUUGCGAUGGGGGACGGAGAAGGCUAGGUGGGCCUGGCGACGGUUGUCCAGGUUCAAGUGCGUAGGCUUAAGAGUUAGGUAAAUCCGGCUCUUUUUAAGGCUGAGACACGACGUCGAGCAUCUACGGAUGUGAAGUCAUUGAUGCCAUGCUUCCAGGAAAAGCCUCUAAGCUUCAGAUUGUAAGGAAUCGUACCCCAAACCGACACAGGUGGUCGGGUAGAGAAUACCAAGGCGCUUGAGAGAACUCGGGUGAAGGAACUAGGCAAAAUGGUACCGUAACUUCGGGAGAAGGUACGCUCUCGACGGUGAAGUCCCUCGCGGAUGGAGCUAUUGAGAGUCGCAGAUACCAGGUGGCUGCAACUGUUUAUUAAAAACACAGCACUGUGCAAAAUCGUAAGAUGACGUAUACGGUGUGACGCCUGCCCGGUGCCGGAAGGUUAAUUGAUGGGGUUAGACUUCGGUCGAAGCUCUUGAUCGAAGCCCCGGUAAACGGCGGCCGUAACUAUAACGGUCCUAAGGUAGCGAAAUUCCUUGUCGGGUAAGUUCCGACCUGCACGAAUGGCGUAAUGAUGGCCACGCUGUCUCCACCCGAGACUCAGUGAAAUUGAAAUCGCUGUGAAGAUGCAGUGUACCCGCGGCUAGACGGAAAGACCCCGUGAACCUUUACUACAGCUUGGCACUGAACAUUGACCCUACAUGUGUAGGAUAGGUGGGAGGCUUUGAAGCACGUACGCCAGUAUGUGUGGAGCCGUCCUUGAAAUACCACCCUUGUAGUGUUGAUGUUCUAACGUCGACCCCUUAUCGGGGUUGCGGACAGUGCCUGGUGGGUAGUUUGACUGGGGCGGUCUCCUCCCAAAGAGUAACGGAGGAGCACGAAGGUGGGCUAAUCACGGUUGGACAUCGUGAGGUUAGUGCAAUGGCAUAAGCCCGCUUGACUGCGAGAAUGACAAUUCGAGCAGGUGCGAAAGCAGGUCAUAGUGAUCCGGUGGUUCUGAAUGGAAGGGCCAUCGCUCAACGGAUAAAAGGUACUCCGGGGAUAACAGGCUGAUACCGCCCAAGAGUUCAUAUCGACGGCGGUGUUUGGCACCUCGAUGUCGGCUCAUCACAUCCUGGGGCUGAAGUCGGUCCCAAGGGUAUGGCUGUUCGCCAUUUAAAGUGGUACGCGAGCUGGGUUUAGAACGUCGUGAGACAGUUCGGUCCCUAUCUGCCGUGGGCGUUGGAAGAUUGAAGGGGGCUGCUCCUAGUACGAGAGGACCGGAGUGGACGAACCUCUGGUGUUCGGGUUGUGUCGCCAGACGCAUUGCCCGGUAGCUAAGUUCGGAAUCGAUAACCGCUGAAAGCAUCUAAGCGGGAAGCGAGCCCUGAGAUGAGUCUUCCCUGAUACUUUAAGUAUCCUAAAGGGUUGUCGGAGACUACGACGUUGAUAGGUCAGGUGUGUAAGUGCUGUGAGGCAUUGAGCUAACUGAUACUAAUUGCCCGUGAGGCUUAACCAUACAACACCCAAGGGGUUU